AGUGAACGCUGGCGGUAGGCCUAACACAUGCAAGUCGAACGGCAGCACAGGAGAGCUUGCUCUCUGGGUGGCGAGUGGCGGACGGGUGAGGAAUACAUCGGAAUCUACUCUGUCGUGGGGGAUAACGUAGGGAACCUCACGCUAAUACCGCAUACGACCUACGGGCGAAAGCAGGGGACCUCCGGGCCUUGCGCGAUUGAAUGAGCCGAUGUCGGAUUAGCUAGUUGGCGGGGUAAAGGCCCACCAAGGCGACGAUCCGUAGCUGGUCUGAGAGGAUGAUCAGCCACACUGGAACUGAGACACGGUCCAGACUCCUACGGGAGGCAGCAGUGGGGAAUAUUGGACAAUGGGCGCAAGCCUGAUCCAGCCAUACCGCGUGGGUGAAGAAGGCCUUCGGGUUGUAAAGCCCUUUUGUUGGGAAAGAAAUCCAGCUGGCUAAUACCCGGUUGGGAUGACGGUACCCAAAGAAUAAGCACCGGCUAACUUCGUGCCAGCCGCCGCAGUAA
rnacentral:rRNA from 1 species